AAUUGGGUGUUCCAUCCUACUAUAUGUACCUUCUAUUGCAUUUGGAGCUAAAAAUCUUAGAUUGAUUUUCUAUGAUGGGAUAUAAGGAAAUAGCCUUCCACGCAUUUACUUAUGUAUCAUUUUACCUCGUCGCUUUCUACCUAAGCUUAUGUUUUUCUAUUUCGUAAAUUGGCUAAGAAGCAAUAAAAAAAAGUUAGUUUGUAGGGCAUAAUUUUUGUAUAUAACACAUAUUGCUUUUUUCCACAACUCAUAUGUCUUGCAGGUGACGGGCUCUCCCCCAUUUCCCGUGUUUCCCCUCUGAAAUUUCCCUAUUUCCACAACUCCUCUUCCGCGUUCGGAUGGGGUUAGGUGUAACACACUCAUAUCUUGCAAGCUUUCUUCGAUCUGGAGAAUGGCAACCAGGAGCUCAAGAGCGACCUAAGGACCUCUACAUCAACACCGCGAUCCAGUUGGAUAUCGUCGGGAACAGGAAGGCCGUGGAACCACGUGCCCUGCCGCCUACAUAAUGCCUUCAGGAAGAUCCAUGCUAGGCUCGUGAGGGAGCUCGAGAAGAAGUUCGGCGGCAAGUAGUAUAUUUAUGUAACACCUCUAUCAUUUAUUGAGGAGGUUCUUAGAAUACUAAAUAUGUCAGCAUCAAAUGGGAAGUGGAUCGAUGGGCUCCAGUUCUCAUCUCUGUUCUGGCCCUGGCACAUGAUGUGCAGCAGAAACAGGCACAAACUUUGGUCUAUGUUGAGUGCUUUGGUCAGCUUACAUGUGAGAGCGAAGGAU